AACUUGUGGGCGUGCGUGAGUUUCGGCCUCGCUGUUUGCAUGUUUGUGCGCUUUGGGUGUACUUUUUCGUAUGGUUGGCCAACAUCAGUUUCGAUUACUAUAAAAUGACUGGCGGAAUGUAGCUUCCAUUUCGGUUGAAGUGUUAUAGCCUCUGGUAUAUGUGGUGAUUGAGACUGAGGAUUGCAACAAAUAUCCUUUGGGCUAUCCGUCUGG
rnacentral:rRNA from 1 species